GUGUCAGCAGCCGCGGUAAUACGAAGGGGGCUAGCGUUGUUCGGAAUUACUGGGCGUAAAGGGCGCGUAGGCUGUGCUGUAAGUCAGGCGUGAAAGCCCCGGGCUCAACCUGGGAAUUGCGCUUGAUACUGCGGCGCUGGAAGGUGGGAGAGGAUGGCGGAAUUCCCAGUGUAGAGGUGAAAUUCGUAGAUAUUGGGAAGAACACCGGUGGCGAAGGCGGCCAUCUGGCCCACAAUUGACGCUGAGGCGCGAAAGCGUGGGGAGCAAACAGGAUUAGAUACCCUGGUAGUCC
rnacentral:rRNA from 1 species